GAUGAACGCUGGCGGCGUGCCUAAUACAUGCAAGUCGAGCGAACAGACGAGGAGCUUGCUCCUUUGACGUUAGCGGCAGACGGGUGAGUAACACGUAGGUAACCUACCUAUAAGACUGGGAUAACUUCGGGAAACCGGAGCUAAUACCGGAUAAUAUUUCGAACCGCAUGGUUCGAUAGUGAAAGAUGGCUUUGCUAUCACUUAUAGAUGGACCUGCGCCGUAUUAGCUAGUUGGUAAGGUAACGGCUUACCAAGGCAACGGUACGUAGCCGACCUGAGAGGGUGAUCGGCCACACUGGAACUGAGACACGGUCCAGACUCCUACGGGAGGCAGCAGUAGGGAAUCUUCCGCAAUGGGCGAAAGCCUGACGGAGCAACGCCGCGUGAGUGAUGAAGGUCUUCGGAUCGUAAAACUCUGUUAUUAGGGAAGAACAAACGUGUAAGUAACUGUGCACGUCUUGACGGUACCUAAUCAGAAAGCCACGGCUAACUACGUG
rnacentral:rRNA from 1 species